GGUCGCUUGGUGCAGCGGUCAGAAACCUGGCAUUACUCUCUGCGGUGGAGGGCUCGUUGGUUCGAAUCCAACAGCGAUCA
rnacentral:tRNA from 1 species